ensembl:lncRNA
AUGUGCGGUGGGAGAUCUGUUGGCGUGAUUUGUUUUCAAUCCGAUCUGCCCUCCUCUAUCUUCACUUCUCCCCCCAGUUCUUUGAGUUUUGGGCCACUCUCUUCACCAGAUGGGCCGGGUUACAUCAAACCAAAGAAUAGGAUAGACAAGAAAAGAAAAGUACUCCUCAUCUCCCUCCGUUCCUGGCUCCUCACUCCACUCAGUAGUGCACCCGUGACAGAAUACCGGACCAAACAAGAUGACUAUGGCUGAACACAGGCUUUGGUGUCUGUGGCAGGGUUGUCAGGUAUCGGAGAGGAAUGUGGAAGAGUUCCUAGAGCUCUCCAACCAGGUGAGCAGGAUUGACUCUGCUCUAGGGGUCUGUUUUCGGCUGGGGCUGGAUGAUGACGUAAUCGGCUACGAUCUUCCCACGUUUAGUUAUCCCCUGAUCGAGCUGGUUAAUCAUGUCCUUUAUUUAAAUUUGUUAAUUUGUUAAAUUGAGUUAAUCUGAAAGUAGAAAGAGUUCAGAGCGAUCAUCAUCCAGUCCCUCCUGAAAACCACUGGGCCUCACCAGCUCACCCCUUGCCAGGACCCUCCACAUACCUAGCCAAAUGUUCCGACCACCCGUCUCCUCCCAGCACUGUCCCUGUCCUCAGCCCAGGAACGCUGGCUGUUCCUGUGGCCAGCCCGCUGGCCAUUCCUGUAACAUCGGCUGCCCAAUUCACUUGUAACCAAGGGAGGAGAAUGAGGAGGAAAGGACGGUUCACAGCCCUUCUCUCAGCCACAGAGCUUGCUCCAGUGUCGGCUCCGGCCCCAGGGCUCACUCCAGUGUCGGCUCCGGCCCCAGGGCUCACUCCAGUGUCGGCUCCAGCCCCAGGGCUCGCUCCAGUGCCAGCUCCUUGAAAGCGCCUCGUUGUGCCUGCUCCUCCAGUGUCAGCUCCUCGUAAGUGCUUCCCAGUCCCCGAAUCCAGACCAGAGUGGGCCCCUGUUCCCGAGUAUAGCCCACGGAGGGCUCCUACUCCUGAUUAUAGCCCACGGAGGGCUCUGUUCCCCUAGUUUAGCACAGAGAAAGUUCCUGCCCCUGAGUUAAGCCCAAUGAAUGCUCCUGCCCCUCAGUUAAGCCCAGUGAAUGCUCCUGUCCCCGAGUUAAGCCCAGUGAGGGCUCCUGCCCCCGAAAUUAAGCCCAGUUAGGGCUCCAGAUACCCUGUAAAGCCCAGGGAAGGCUCCAAUUCCCUUGUUUAGGCCUUGGAGCCCGUAAGUGUCCCCAAGUAUU